rnacentral:rRNA from 1 species
CAGUAGCCACGGUAAUACGUAGGUGGCGAGCGUUGUCCGGAUUUAUUGGGCGUAAAGGGAGUGUAGGCGGUCUUUUAAGUCUGAUGUGAAAGCCCACGGCUCAACCGUGGAGGGUCAUUGGAAACUGGGAGACUUGAGUGCAGAAGAGGAGAGCGGAACUCCAUGUGUAGCGGUGAAAUGCGUAGAUAUAUGGAGGAACACCAGUGGCGAAGGCGACUCUCUGGUCUGUAACUGACGCUGAGGCUCGAAAGCGUGGGUAGCAAACAGGAUUAGAUACCCCAGUAGUCCCUGUCUCUUAUAC